UUAGGUAGCAUUGGGACGCGAUCCUAUGUGCGUUCCCCUGCUAAAAUUAGUGGGAGUUUGCCAACAAUAAACAGGCGCAGACCAGAAACGUAAGCUACGAAAGUAUGUUAAACGGCUUGCGUUCUUAACUCGAAAGGCCCCAAGAACAUCCAUUGCUUUGCCACUCUAGCAUCCACAGGCGUGCAACUCUCUGGUUCCCCGCUGUGGCUACUGUAGACUAAGUGAAAGGAGAAACUCUAUUGUCACAGGCGGUAGCACACUCUAGCACUGGCCUCCGGCGCACUCUAUAGUCACAACCCGCCCACCAAGAGCAACCGCAGGGUAGCGUCCCCCUGGCGGGGACUAGUUUGGUAAAUGCUGACAAGUACCGGUGGCUCCGGUUUCUUGAGGCGUUAGGGCGAUUCCCUCUGGGCAACGCGAAGCCGAGGCGAAGCCCGGGAAGCCUCUGAGGUUGAUUAUGGACGAGGUGCCCAAAAGCAGUAAUAACAAUUCAUCAACAUCUCCACAAAUAGCAUCUUUACAAGGUACCACUCUACAGGAAGCUCAACUUUCUCAUGUUUCUCAACAGAUGUCUCUUAGAGGUCCAGCUCCACUAACAGUGGUACAUCUGUCUGGAGAUCAGGUCCAGGGAGUCAUUCAUACAGCUCAGACCUCCUCCGUGAUUCACUCACCACAAGGGCAAUCAAUACAGGUACAUUGUUCACAUCCAUAU